rnacentral:rRNA from 1 species
AGAGUUUGAUCCUGGCUCAGAGUGAACGCUGGCGGCAGGCCUAAUACAUGCAAGUCGAACGGCAGCACAGCAGAGCUUGCUCUGUGGGUGGCGAGUGGCGGACGGGUGAGGAAUACGUGGGAAUCUGCCCAGUCGUGGGGGAUAACGUAGGGAAACUUACGCUAAUACCGCAUGCGCCCUUCGGGGAAAGCCGGGGACCUUCGGGCCUGGCGCGAUUGGAUGAGCCCACGUCGGAUUAGCUAGUUGGCGGGGUAAAGGCCCACCAAGGCGACGAUCCGUAGCUGGUCUGAGAGGAUGAUCAGCCACACUGGAACUGAGACACGGUCCAGACUCCUACGGGAGGCAGCAGUAGGGAAUAUUGGACAAUGGGCGCAAGCCUGAUCCAGCCAUGCCGCGUGAGUGAAGAAGGCCCUCGGGUUGUAAAGCUCUUUUGUCCGGAAAGAAAAGCGCCGGGUUAAUACCCUGGUGUCCCGACGGUACCGGAAGAAUAAGCACCGGCUAACUUCGUG